rnacentral:rRNA from 1 species
GUGUCCUACGGGACGCAGCAGUAGGGAAUAUUGCUCAAUGGGGGAAACCCUGAAGCAGCAACGCCGCGUGGAGGAUGAAGGUUUUCGGAUUGUAAACUCCUUUUGUUAGAGAAGAUAAUGACGGUAUCUAACGAAUAAGCACCGGCUAACUCCGUGCCAGCAGCCGCGGUAAUACGGAGGGUGCAAGCGUUACUCGGAAUCACUGGGCGUAAGGAGCGCGUAGGCGGGAUAGCAAGUCAGAUGGGAAAUCCUAUGG